CUGAGCUGUGAUGGGGAGAAGACAUUGUGUCUUCGAGUCGUUGAUUUCACACUGCCGAGAAAAGCCUCUAGAUAGAAAAUAGGUGCCCGUACCGCAAACCGACACAGGUAGUCAAGAUGAGAAUUCUAAGGUGAGCGAGCGAACUCUCGUUAAGGAACUCGGCAAAAUGACCCCGUAACUUCGGGAGAAGGGGUGCUCUUUAGGGUUAACGCCCAGAAGAGCCGCAGUGAAUAGGCCCAAGCGACUGUUUAUCAAAAACACAGGUCUCUGCUAAACCGUAAGGUGAUGUAUAGGGGCUGACGCCUGCCCGGUGCUGGAAGGUUAAGAGGAGUGGUUAGCUUCUGCGAAGCUACGAAUCGAAGCCCCAGUAAACGGCGGCCGUAACUAUAACGGUCCUAAGGUAGCGAAAUUCCUUGUCGGGUAAGUUCCGACCCGCACGAAAGGCGUAACGAUUUGGGCACUGUCUCAACGAGAGACUCGGUGAAAUCAUAGUACCUGUGAAGAUGCAGGUUACCCGCGACAGGACGGAAAGACCCCGUGGAGCUUUACUGUAGCCUGAUAUUGAAAUUCGGCACAGCUUGUACAGGAUAGGUAGGAGCCUUUGAAACGUGAGCGCUAGCUUACGUGGAGGCGCUGGUGGGAUACUACCCUAGCUGUGUUGGCUUUCUAACCCGCACCACUUAUCGUGGUGGGAGACAGUGUCAGGCGGGCAGUUUGACUGGGGCGGUCGCCUCCUAAAAGGUAACGGAGGCGCUCAAAGGUUCCCUCAGAAUGGUUGGAAAUCAUUCAUAGAGUGUAAAGGCAUAAGGGAGCUUGACUGCGAGACCUACAAGUCGAGCAGGGUCGAAAGACGGACUUAGUGAUCCGGUGGUUCCGCAUGGAAGGGCCAUCGCUCAACGGAUAAAAGCUACCCCGGGGAUAACAGGCUUAUCUCCCCCAAGAGUUCACAUCGACGGGGAGGUUUGGCACCUCGAUGUCGGCUCAUCGCAUCCUGGGGCUGUAGUCGGUCCCAAGGGUUGGGCUGUUCGCCCAUUAAAGCGGUACGCGAGCUGGGUUCAGAACGUCGUGAGACAGUUCGGUCCCUAUCCGUCGUGGGCGUAGGAAAUUUGAGAGGAGCUGUCCUUAGUACGAGAGGACCGGGAUGGACAUACCUCUGGUGUACCAGUUGUCGUGCCAACGGCAUAGCUGGGUAGCUAUGUGUGGACGGGAUAAGUGCUGAAAGCAUCUAAGCAUGAAGCCCCCCUCAAGAUGAGAUUUCCCAACUUCGGUUAUAAGAUCCCUCAAAGAUGAUGAGGUUAAUAGGUUCGAGGUGGAAGCAUGGUGACAUGUGGAGCUGACGAAUACUAA
rnacentral:rRNA from 1 species